rnacentral:rRNA from 1 species
AUUGAACGCUGGCGGCAUGCCUUACACAUGCAAGUCGAACGGUAACAGGUCUUCGGAUGCUGACGAGUGGCGAACGGGUGAGUAAUACAUCGGAACGUGCCCGAUCGUGGGGGAUAACGCAGCGAAAGCUGUGCUAAUACCGCAUACGAUCUACGGAUGAAAGCGGGGGAUCGCAAGACCUCGCGCGGACGGAGCGGCCGAUGGCAGAUUAGGUAGUUGGUGGGAUAAAAGCUUACCAAGCCGACGAUCUGUAGCUGGUCUGAGAGGACGACCAGCCACACUGGGACUGAGACACGGCCCAGACUCCUACGGAGGCAGCAGUGGGGAAUUUUGGACAAUGGGCGCAAGCCUGAUCCAGCCAUGCCGCGUGCAGGAUGAAGGCCUUCGGGUUGUAAACUGCUUUUGUACGGUAACGAAAAAGACUACUCUCUAAUACAGGGGUGAAUGACGGUACCGUAAGAAGUAAGACACCGGCUAACUACGUGCCAGCAGCCGCGGUAA